CGUAAAUGAAACUCCGAUUACUGGCCAAGUAAAGGCCAAAGUCAAUGUUGAAUUUCCGGUUAACAUCUUGAUUUCCUGGCUCAGGUCCACUAGAAUUUAAUUUACACAACAAUUUAAAUCUCUCAAGAUAAAAGAUUCUUUUUUGUUUAUGUUGAAUUGUUUCCGAUUGGAAGAAGAAAAAAUCUCACUUACACUUCGAUAAUCAAUGGGAAUUUGAUUUCUUCUGCUUCUCUCAAAGCCGGAGGCAAUAUAAGUCUCACUUCAGCCGCUGAUGUUUGGAUUUCAAUGGCUGAUCAACAAUCAAUGGAACUUGACGAUAUUAACAAUCUAAGUUUUCCAAUGGACUUUCGUUCAUUUCACUCACCAUAAUCCGGAGAAAUAGGAACUCGGAACGAUCUCAUCUGAGGAAAUGCUCUUUCCUCGACAAUCUCUCUCAACCUUUUAUCCGUCGGCGUUUGUAGCACUGUAAUUGAAAUUUAAAUGGUACAAAUGGUUAACAAUGGUGCCAAUUAUCGUAAAUUGUUGGUUGAGAGAAUGAAGUUUUGAUGAUUAUUAUGCAAAUCAGAGUUGAUUUAACAUUUCAAGGGAUCCGAUAAACAAGAAGGAUAAGGAAGAUGAGAGACAAAAAAUCACACGAAAGGUUUAAUCUCAAGGGAGAUUUUUGGCUGAAAUGGUUAUGUUCAUGGAAAGAAAAAAAACAAGGAAAAGAUUGAUAAUGACGCAAAGAGAAAAAGGCUGAUAUUCCAGACGAUGAAGAUGGAAAUCCUUGGAAAAUUCUGGGAUAAAGAUGCAAAUAAUGAGUUUAACAUGGAAAAAAAAGGAAUUCAAAGGAUGGAACAAAUGAAAGAAUAGGAUGAUAAUGAUGAUGGUAGAGGAGGAUGAAUGAGAAAUUCUACAAGAGAGAGAGAGAGAGAAGAAUAAAAGGGAAAAAGGAUACAUAGAUGAUGAUCAAUUGAUUCUGAUUAUAAUUCACUAUUUUAUUCCUUUUACUUCAUUAUUUCUAUUCUCUUCUAAUACUUUUUCUUUCUCUCAACCAUCGUUCGUUUUUCUUACAUAUAUC